GUGCUCACUUUGGCAUCGCAUACACUAAAAUUGGAGCGAUACAGAGAAGGUUGGCCUGGCUCCUGUGCAAGGAUGACAUGCACAUUUGUGAAACAUCCCAUAUUUUU
ensembl:snRNA U6 U6 spliceosomal RNA